rnacentral:rRNA from 1 species
CAAUAGCGUAUAUUUAAGUUGCUGCAGUUAAAAAGCUCGUAGUUGGAUUUCGGGUGGGAAUGGCCGGUCCGCCGUUUCGGUGUGCACUUGCUACGCCCACCUUGCUGCCGGGGACGUGCUCUUGAGUUCACGCUCGGGACACGGAGUCGGCGAGGUUACUUUGAGUAAAUUAGAGUGUUCAAAGCAGGCCUACGCCUGAAUACAUUAGCAUGGAAUAAUGGAAGAGGACCUCGGUCCUAUUUUGUUGGUUUCCAGGGCCGAAGUAAUGAUUAAGAGGGACAGUUGGGGGCAUUCGUAUUUAAUUGUCAGAGGUGAAAUUCUCGGAUUUAUGAAAGACGAACAACUGCGAAAGCAUUUGCCAAGGAUGUUUUCAUUAA